AAUCAACGCUGGCGGCGUGCCUAAUACAUGCAAGUCGAACGCGAAUUCUAAGCGCGGGGUUAGUAGAGUGGCGAACGGGUGAGGAACACGAGGGGGACCUGCCCUCGCGUGGGGGAUAAGGUACCGACAGGGACGCGGAUAUCACAUGACAUCCUUCUUCUGAAGAAGCGGAGAUCAAGGCCGGGGAUCUCAAGACCUAGCGCUCGAAGAGGCGCCCGCGCCUGAUUAGCUAGUUGGCGAGGUAACGGCCCACCAAGGCGACGAUCAGUAUCCGGCCUGAGAGGGCGGACGGACACACUGGGACUGAGACACGGCCCAGACUCCUACGGGAGGCAGCAGUAGGGAAUUGUCCGCAAUGGGCGAAAGCCUGACGACGCAACGCCGCGUGGAGGACGAAGAUCUUCGGGUCGUAAACUCCUGUCGAGCGGGACGAACGCUUCGCGGAUGAAUAGUCCGCGGAAUUGACGGUACCGGGCAAGAAAGCCACGGCUAACUACGUG
rnacentral:rRNA from 1 species